UUGACCUCGGAUCAGGUAGGGAUACCCGCUGAACUUAAGCAUAUCAAUAAGCGGAGGAAAAGAAACCAACAGGGAUUGCCCUAGUAACGGCGAGUGAAGCGGCAACAGCUCAAAUUUGAAAUCUGGCGCAAGCCCGAGUUGUAAUUUGUAGAGGAUGCUUCGGGGCAGCGGCCGGUCUAAGUCCCUUGGAACAGGGCGUCAUAGAGGGUGAGAAUCCCGUAUGCGACCGGCUGGCACCCCACACGUAGCUCCUUCGACGAGUCGAGUUGUUUGGGAAUGCAGCUCUAAAUGGGAGGUAAAUUUCUUCUAAAGCUAAACACCGGCCAGAGACCGAUAGCGCACAAGUAGAGUGAUCGAAAGAUGAAAAGCACUUUGGAAAGAGAGUUAAACAGCACGUGAAAUUGUUGAAAGGGAAGCGCAUGCUACCAGACUUGCCGGCGGCGUUCACCCGGUCUUCUGACCGGGCCACUCGUCGUCGGCAGGCCAGCAUCACUUGGGGCCGCCGCAGAAAGGCGGAGGGAAUGUAGCUCUUCGGAGUGUUAUAGCCCCUCGCACAAUUCGGCGCGCCCCGGGUGAGGUCCGCGCUUCGGCUAGGAUGCUGGCGUAAUGGUCGUAUGCGGCCCGUCUUGAAACACGGACCAAGGAGUCUACCAUCUAUGCGAGUGUUCGGGUGUCAAACCCCUACGCGCAAUGAAAGUGAACGGAGGUGGGAACCUUUACCGGUGCACCAUCGACCGAUCCUGAUGUCUUCGGAUGGAUUUGAGUAAGAGCAUAGCUGGUGGGACCCGAAAGAUGGUGAACUAUGCCUGAAUAGGGUGAAGCCAGAGGAAACUCUGGUGGAGGCUCGCAGCGGUUCUGACGUGCAAAUCGAUCGUCAAAUUUGGGUAUAGGGGCGAAAGACUAAUCGAACCAU
rnacentral:rRNA from 1 species